CUGGCCUGCUGGGACAGCACUGGCUGCCGUUUGUUUUAGUUGAUUUUACAUGUGCUGCAGCUGGAGUGUCCUUCUCUCACUGGUGUCGUCUGGGACUGGGAG